rnacentral:tRNA from 1 species
UUCCUGGUAGCUUAGUUGGUAAAGAAUCUGCCUGCAAUGCAGGAAACCCUGGUUCGAUUCCUGGGUCAGAAA